AACGAACGCUGGCGGCGCGCCUAAUACAUGCAAGUCGAGCGAGAAGACGUAGCAAUACGUUUGUAAAGCGGCGAACGGGUGAGGAACACAUGGGUAACCUACCCUAGAGUGGGGAAUAACUAGCCGAAAGGUUAGCUAAUACCGCGUACGCUCCUUGGACUUCGGUACAGGGAGGAAAGCGAUACCGUGGGUAUCGCGCUCUUGGAUGGGCUCAUGUCCUAUCAGCUUGUUGGUGAGGAACGGCUCACCAAGGCUUCGACGGGUAGCUGGUCUGAGAGGACGAUCAGCCACACUGGCACUGCGACACGGGCCAGACUCCUACGGGAGGCAGCAGUAAGGAAUAUUGCGCAAUGGGCGAAAGCCUGACGCAGCGACGCCGCGGUGGGGGA
rnacentral:rRNA from 1 species